rnacentral:rRNA from 1 species
AUUGAACGCUGGCGGCAGGCCUAACACAUGCAAGUCGAGCGGAUGAAGGGAGCUUGCUCCUGGAUUCAGCGGCGGACGGGUGAGUAAUGCCUAGGAAUCUGCCUGGUAGUGGGGGAUAACGUCCGGAAACGGGCGCUAAUACCGCAUACGUCCUGAGGGAGAAAGUGGGGGAUCUUCGGACCUCACGCUAUCAGAUGAGCCUAGGUCGGAUUAGCUAGUUGGUGGGGUAAAGGCCUACUAAGGCGACGAUCCGUAACUGGUCUGAGAGGAUGAUCAGUCACACUGGAACUGAGACACGGUCCAGACUCCUACGGGAGGCAGCAGCGGGGAAUAUUGGACAAUGGGCGAAAGCCUGAUCCAGCCAUGCCGCGUGUGUGAAGAAGGUCUUCGGAUUGUAAAGCACUUUAAGUUGGGAGGAAGGGCAGUAAGUUAAUACCUUGCUGUUUUGACGUUACCAACAGAAUAAGCACCGGCUAACUUCGUG